CCCCGUCAGUGUAUAAAAAACAAGAGGAAUGAAGUAAAGGUACACCCACCCAUCAUCUCUCAGCUGGGGUCAGGAAAAAUCUGAGGACGCCAUCCACACUGGGUGAAUGACAUCAUCAGUGUGGCUGCUUUGGAAGUCACCCAUAGUCCUAUCAGUAACUCUGGCUGAAAUCACUACAUGUGCUCUCGGUGCUGGCUUCGUUUCUGCCUGAGUAGAUUCUCUGUGUCCCAGAGGCUGGAUGGGAACUUGUCGUUCUGGAAACAGCGGAGAUGAAGCCAGCACUGAGAGCAAAUCUAGUGCACGUCUCCCUACUUAACCUCACCUGACCCUUGUCUUCCAAAACGAUGUGAAACAUGUUUUCCUUCAUUGUCACUAUCAUUGCCAUGCAUGAGGCAUUUGGGACAGCUGUCCCCUCCAGCAUAUCCAUUGUGCAAUGUCAAAAAUAUCACAGAGUUCAGGGACAGAAAUCCCCAGGAAGAUGAUGGCCUUUGUUCUUAAGUUUUGCAAAACAGCUGAGGCAGGAGGAUCGUGGGUUCAAGGCCAUCCUGAACUACAUAGUAAGACCCUGUCUCAAAGAGAGAGAGAGAGAGAGAGAGAG
rnacentral:lncRNA from 1 species